rnacentral:rRNA from 1 species
AAUCAACGCUGGCGGCGUGCCUCAGACAUGCAAGUCGAACGCGAAAGCUCCCUUCGGGGAGCAAGUAGAGUGGCGCACGGGUGAGUAACACGUAGGUAAUCUACCUUCGGAUGGGGAAUAACAACCGGAAACGGUUGCUAAUACCGCAUAAUGCAGCGGCACCUAAUGGUGACAGUUGUUAAAAGCGGGGGAUCGCAAGACCUCGCGUCUGAAGAGGAGCCUGCGGCGGAUUAGCUAGUUGGCAGGGUAACGGCCUACCAAGGCGACGAUCCGUAGCCGGCCUGAGAGGGCGGUCGGCCACACUGACACUGACAUACGGGUCAGACUCCUACGGGAGGCAGCAGUCGGGAAUUUUGGGCAAUGGGCGAAAGCCUGACCCAGCAACGCCGCGUGAAGGAUGAAAUCCCUCGGGAUGUAAACUUCGCAAGAACGGAAGAAUAAGUCUGCGUUAACACCGCAGGCGAUGACGGUACCGUUUGUAAGCUCCGGCUAACUCCGUGCCAGCAGCC